GAUGAACGCUGGCGGCGUGCCUAAUACAUGCAAGUCGAGCGAACAGACGAGGAGCUUGCUCCUCUGACGUUAGCGGCGGACGGGUGAGUAACACGUGGAUAACCUACCUAUAAGACUGGGAUAACUUCGGGAAACCGGAGCUAAUACCGGAUAAUAUAUUGAACCGCAUGGUUCAAUAGUGAAAGACGGUUUUGCUGUCACUUAUAGAUGGAUCCGCGCCGCAUUAGCUAGUUGGUAAGGUAACGGCUUACCAAGGCGACGAUGCGUAGCCGACCUGAGAGGGUGAUCGGCCAAACAGGAACUGAGACACGGUCCAGACUCCUACGGGAGGCAGCAGUAGGGAAUCUUCCGCAAUGGGCGAAAGCCUGACGGAGCAACGCCGCGUGAGUGAUGAAGGUCUUCGGAUCGUAAAACUCUGUUAUUAGGGAAGAACAAAUGUGUAAGUAACUAUGCACGUCUUGACGGUACCUAAUCAGAAAGCCACGGCUAACUACGUG
rnacentral:rRNA from 1 species